UCCCACGUGGUCUAGCGGUUAGGAUACCUGGCUCUCACCCUGGAGGCCAGGGUUCAAUUCUCGGCAUGGGAA
rnacentral:tRNA from 1 species